rnacentral:misc_RNA from 1 species
GAUGAAGAACGCAGCGAAAUGCGAUAAGUAAUGUGAAUUGUAGAAUUCAGUGAAUCAUCGAAUCUUUGAACGCACAUUGCGCCCGCCAGUAUUCUGGCGGGCAUGCCUGUUCGAGCGUCAUUUCAACCCUCAGGGCCCUUUUGGACCUGGCGUUGGGGCUCGGCCGCUACCCUGCGGCCGUCCCCGAAAGAUAGUGGCGGUCUCGCUGUAGCCUCCUCUGCGUAGUAGUUACAUCUCGCACUGGAACGCGGCGCGGCCAUGCCGUUAAACACCCCACUUCUCAAGGUUGACCUCGGAUCAGGUAGGAAUACCCGCUGAACUUAAGCAUAUCAAUAAGCGGAGGA